UACGUAGGUGGCAAGCGUUGUCCGGAUUUACUGGGCGUAAAGAGCGCGCAGGCGGUCGUUCAAGUCGCGUGUGAAAUCUCCCGGCUCAACCGGGAGGGGUCAUCGGAUACUGGCGGACUAGAGACAGGUAGAGGAAAGCAGAAUUCCCGGUGUAGCGGUGAAAUGCGUAGAUAUCGGGAGGAAUACCAGUGGCGAAGGCGGCUUUCUGGGCCUGUUCUGACGCUGAGGAGCGAAAGCGUGGGGAGCAAACCGG
rnacentral:rRNA from 1 species